rnacentral:rRNA from 1 species
AUACGGAGGAUCCGAGCGUUAUCCGGAUUUAUUGGGUUUAAAGGGAGCGUAGGCGGACGCUUAAGUCAGUUGUGAAAGUUUGCGGCUCAACCCCAUUCUGCCGUUGAUACUGGGUGGCUUGAUUGCGGUCGAGGUUGGCGGAAUUCGUUGUGUAGCGGUGAAAUGCAUAGAUAUGACGAAGAACACCGAUUGCGUAGGCAGCUGACCAGACCGCAAAUGACGCUCAUGCACGAAAGUGCGGGGAUCGAACAGGAUUAGAUACCCUGGUAGUCCGCACAGUAAACGAUGAAUACUUGUUUUCGGCGAUAUAAUGUCGGAGGCAAAGCGAAAGCGAUAAGUAUUCCACCUGGGGAGUACGCCGGCAACGGUGAAACUCAAAUGAAUUGGCGGGG